ACAAAUUCAAUAUUUCAAACAUGAAACGAGUAAAACAUCUGCUACUACAUAUUUAUGACAUUUAAGAAGGAAGUAGGGGAGAUAGACAAGAACUGGAUAGCUUAAGUGAACAUAUGGAAAUUGAUCUUCAAAAAUAAACAAGCUUAUUACAUUUCAAUAGAUUCCCUAUUUUCCAAACACAACAACCACAUUCAUAGCUUCAUUUGCCACUCAAUAGUUCAAGGAAAUACCUGAAAACAGAAAAGGAAACAAAAGAAGUGAAGAAUCAGCAAUCAACAGUAGCAGAAAUCAGCUUAAGAACCAGCAAUGAAACAAUAUCUUAAUAGCAGCUCAACCCAGACUUUAAAAAUCCCAAACUCAAAUCAUUUUCAACCAGCAAUACCAAACAAAAACCCAGCUACUUGAUUUUGAUCUUUCAGAAAUUCUAAUGAACCAAAAGGAAGCAAAAACCAGAAGCCAGAAACCAAAUUUUUAGCAAAAUUUCAGUGUUUUAGAGCUUGGAAAAGACCAAGCCGUUUUCUUACUUUUUAAAUUUUUUUAGUCUCUGAAAAAUUCUCCCUUG
rnacentral:lncRNA from 1 species